UACGGGGGGGGCAAGCGUUGUUCGGAAUUACUGGGCGUAAGGGCUCGUAGGCGGCCAACUAAGUCAAACGUGAAAUCCCUCGGCUUAACCGGGGAACUGCGCUUGAUACUGGAUGGCUUGAGAUUGGGAGAGGGAUGCGGAAUUCCAGGUGUAGCGGUGAAAUGCGUAGAUAUCUGGAGGAACACCGGUGGCGAAGGCGGCAUCCUGGACCAACACUGACGCUGAGGAGCGAAAGCCAGGGGAGCAAACGGG
rnacentral:rRNA from 1 species